GAUGAACGCUGGCGGCGUGCCUAAUACAUGCAAGUCGAGCGAACGGACGAGAAGCUUGCUUCUCUGAUGUUAGCGGCGGACGGGUGAGUAACACGUGGAUAACCUACCUAUAAGACUGGGAUAACUUCGGGAAACCGGAGCUAAUACCGGAUAAUAUUUUGAACCGCAUGGUUCAAAAGUGAAAGACGGUCUUGCUGUCACUUAUAGAUGGAUCCGCGCUGCAUUAGCUAGUUGGUAAGGUAACGGCUUACCAAGGCAACGAUGCAUAGCCGACCUGAGAGGGUGAUCGGCCACACUGGAACUGAGACACGGUCCAGACUCCUACGGGAGGCAGCAGUAGGGAAUCUUCCGCAAUGGGCGAAAGCCUGACGGAGCAACGCCGCGUGAGUGAUGAAGGUCUUCGGAUCGUAAACUCUGUUAUUAGGGAAGAACAUAUGUGUAAGUAACUGUGCACAUCUUGACGGUACCUAAUCAGAAAGCCACGGCUAACUACGUGCCAGCAGCCGCGGUAAUACGUAGGUGGCAAGCGUUAUCCGGAAUUAUUGGGCGUAAAGCGCGCGUAGCGGUUUUUUAAGUCUGAUGUGAAAGCCCACGGCUCAACCGUGGAGGGUCAUUGGAAACUGGAAAACUUGAGUGCAGAAGAGGAAAGUGGAAUUCCAUGUGUAGCGGUGAAAUGCGCAGAGAUAUGGAGGAACACCAGUGGCGAAGGCGACUUUCUGGUCUGUAACUGACGCUGAUGUGCUAAAGCGUGGGGAUCAAACAGGAUUAGAUACCCUGGUAGUCCACGCCGUAAACGAUGAGUGCUAAGUGUUAGGGGGUUUCCGCCCCUUAGUGCUGCAGCUAACGCAUUAAGCACUCCGCCUGGGGAGUACGACCGCAAGGUUGAAACUCAAAGGAAUUGACGGGGACCCGCACAAGCGGUGGAGCAUGUGGUUUAAUUCGAAGCAACGCGAAGAACCUUACCAAAUCUUGACAUCCUUUGACAACUCUAGAGAUAGAGCCUUCCCCUUCGGGGGACAAAGUGACAGGUGGUGCAUGGUUGUCGUCAGCUCGUGUCGUGAGAUGUUGGGUUAAGUCCCGCAACGAGCGCAACCCUUAAGCUUAGUUGCCAUCAUUAAGUUGGGCACUCUAAGUUGACUGCCGGUGACAAACCGGAGGAAGGUGGGGAUGACGUCAAAUCAUCAUGCCCCUUAUGAUUUGGGCUACACACGUGCUACAAUGGACAAUACAAAGGGCAGCGAAACCGCGAGGUCAAGCAAAUCCCAUAAAGUUGUUCUCAGUUCGGAUUGUAGUCUGCAACUCGACUACAUGAAGCUGGAAUCGCUAGUAAUCGUAGAUCAGCAUGCUACGGUGAAUACGUUCCCGGGUCU
rnacentral:rRNA from 1 species